GACGAACGCUGGCGGCGCGCUUAACACAUGCAAGUCGAGCGAUGAAAUUCUAACAGAACCUUUCGGGGCGAAGAUAAGACGGAUUAGCGGCGGACGGGUGAGUAACACGUGAGUAACCUGCCUUUUACACAGGGAUAGCCUCGGGAAACCGGGAUUAAAACCUGAUGAAACUAUCAAAUCACAUGAUUAAGAAAGUUAAAACUCCGGUGGUAAAAGAUGGACUCGCGUCCCAUUAGCUAGUUGGUGAAGGUAACGGCCCACCAAGGCAACGAUGGGUAGCCGGCCUGAGAGGGUGAACGGCCACAUUGGAACUGAGAAACGGUCCAAAUUCCUACGGGAGGCAGCAGUGGGGAAUAUUGCACAAUGGGGGAAACCCUGAUGCAGCGACGCCGCGUGAGCGAAGAAGGCCUUCGGGUCGUAAAGCUCUUUUAUAUGGGAAGAUAAUGACGUACCAUAA
rnacentral:rRNA from 1 species